rnacentral:tRNA from 1 species
AGCCAUAUAGCUCAGCAGGUUAGAGCAUCUCUCUGAUACGGAGAAGGUCUCUGGUUCGAAUCCAGAUAUGGCUACAA